rnacentral:rRNA from 1 species
AUUGAACGCUGGCGGCAGGCCUAACACAUGCAAGUCGAACGGCAGCGGGGGGUAGCUUGCUAUCCUGCCGGCGAGUGGCGGACGGGUGAGUAAUGCAUGGGGAGCUGCCCAGUCGAGGGGGAUAACAACUGGAAACGGUUGCUAAUACCGCAUACGCCCUAAGGGGGAAAGGUGAGGAACUUCGGUCCUACCGCGAUUGGAUGCGCCCAUGUGGGAUUAGCUAGUUGGUGAGGUAACGGCUCACCAAGGCGACGAUCUCUAGCUGGUCUGAGAGGAUGACCAGCCACACUGGAACUGAGACACGGUCCAGACUCCUACGGGAGGCAGCAGUGGGGAAUAUUGCACAAUGGGGGAAACCCUGAUGCAGCCAUGCCGCGUGUGUGAAGAAGGCCUUCGGGUUGUAAAGCACUUUCAGUCAGGAGGAAGGGGUGAUGGCUAAUAUCCAUCAUCAUUGACGUUACUGACAGAAGAAGCACCGGCUAACUCCGUGCCAGCAGCCGCGGUAA